AAAAUGAUUUAUCCUUAGUAGGUCAUUGGCCCUGUUGUAAAGUUCACAUGCCUCAAUUCAGAUUGGACUUAACUAAACUACUGCGCCCAGCCUUCGAGCACUCGGGAUCAAGAAAACGAAUCAUUGUUUAUAUGUUGUAACUAUGCAGUUGAGCUUCGAGGCAGUGUAUCAGUUAGUUAGUUUAUCCAUCCAUUACGGUUCAAGUCCAAAACAGCUCUUUGUUGUAUCCUUGAAAAACAGACAGCCAUGUGACAAGAGACCUAGUGGAGGGCUGAACAUUGAAACGUGCAACAAAUCAUGGAGCACUAGAGAAAGGGAACGGCUGUUUAACCCCUUAAAUGUAAAGGCCCCAUAUUUGGGGAUCAUAUUAGACGUUAUUCAAUUCAGUCUGGUAUGAGAACGGUAGACCCUAUAGGCCGAGCCGAUGACCUCGUUUCAAGACGGCUGCUAUAUACAUUCCGGUUAGCGUUAUGAAGCGUAAACAAAAUAAACACUGAAUACAUUGAUACACACCGAAAUCCGGGACUCCACAGAGAAUGAGAAUGUAUUGUCCGUCUGCAUGUGACCUACCGUUAUUGAUCACCAGCCCAGAGAGUCAACAUUUGUAUUUUACGCAACGUUUUCACCAAACAUCUUACGAGAGUGGAUGAUGCAGAGGAUUUGGAUGACGACGUUUGGGAGCCACCCCUCCCCAGCGGUCAAGGUCUUCACCCCUCACUGCUAUGUCAAUCACCCGUCUGAUGGUUCUACAUCCACUUUUCAUAGACAUCUUGAAAAAGAAAAGAGAGGCUUGUGGCACCAUUCGUCCUAAGAGAAUCGGUUUCCCCAAGACCAAGGUAAAAGACAUGACAAAGACAGCGGAGAGGGGGACCAUACUUUGGAUCAGGACUAACAAGCUGCUUUUUGUGAAAUGGAAGGACACUAGGGAAGUAACCAUGCUCACCACACAGCAUAAGUCAUUCAAUAACAACCAUGUCUCAAGGAUGGGGAAAAAGAAAGUCCCCAUUCCUGUUUCUGAGAAGGACUACAAUGCCAGCAUGGGGGGUGUCGACAUCUCUGAUGCUCUGAUAGGCUACUACCAGGUCCUCCUCAAGACCAGGAAGUGGUAUAAGACUUUGUUUUUACCACUUUGUGGACAUUGCUACAGUAAAUGUUUUCAUUCUCCACAAGCAGAUGGCCAAAGAAACAGGUCAAACCCCUCUCUCCCAGUUGGCCUUCCGAGAGCAGCUGGUGUUGGAAAUGGCUGAAUUAUGGGCCCAAAGCAACCAUCACAAGACCCCCUUCUGAAGGCGAGCACCACUAUCCAACACACAUGCCAAAAGGAAGAAAAGCAAGUAUUGCACAAAACACAGGGUGGUGGUGGUAGGGUGAAAUGACAGUUCCUCUGUCCGAAAAGCCAGUUCGCUUUUUGUUUCCUGGCAGAGCGAGACCGCUUCAAAGACUGUCACGACAUGCACAAGCUAUGGUGAAAGUGAAAUCUAAUCACCUAGACCUGGGAUGUAAAACUAACAAGAAUGCCAUUUUGAAAUUGUCCAGCUUAUUUGUGCACCUUUUUUUUUUUAGUGAAGGACACGUGUGUAACCAAGUUGUAUAUCUGUUGCUUUUAUAUUGUUUUUGUAAACAGCUCAUUUGUAUGUGGGACCAAUACAUUGGAUAUACCGAGCAUAAAUGUUCAGGCACUUGAGAGGUUGGG